UCAUUAAAAAAGUGUUCCUAAAAAUUAUUCAAUUACUUCACCUCUCAUCACCUCUCAUCCUAGCAGACCUUCCCUCCCAUCACCUCUCAUCCUCGCCGGCUCCUGCCCGCUGCUCACCAUUCUCGCCGGCUACAGCUAGUUUCUCGCCUUCUCCUCUCCUUGUUGCUGACCUGUCACCAUCUGCUCCCCGUCGCCGCAGCACCUUCUUCUUCUCCUCUUCCCAGUGCCACUGUCAUCGUCUUCUCCUUCACUUGGCACCGCGCCUUAGUCGUCUUUUCCAACAUCAAUCGUUUGAAAUUAGCAAUGAUAAGGCAGGACUAUAUUGGGUAGAGUAUCAACCUUAUAUCAGAAGUUUACAUUAGUUAGAACCAGUUCUGCUUAGGUCUGCAUAUAACUAUAGCUCCUGCAUAUAGAGAGAUAGGUUAAAAGAGAAGAAUGAAGGAAAGAGAGGGAGCAAAAAGAGACAAGAACCUUGUCCUCCUUGAAUGAAGCCACAACCUUGCCCGUUUCCCUCUUUUGAAUGAAGCCAGAAUUUUGCCAUCUUCUUUUCCUCUAAAAAAAACCUAGCAGAGCAAAACAUAUGAAAUGAGAAAAUUUGGAAGAGAAUAAUGAGAGUUCCAACUGUCGACUCUACUUAUAUAAGGUUCGCUUUUUCAAAUGUGCAGCAGAGAAAAAAGUGUCAAAGCGGAACAUAAACACUGACUACCUGCAUGUUGAUAUCCCAUUGCACAUCACUGCACAACAUUGCACAUCUCAUAUCCCAUUGUUUUCUUGCUACAAUAUUUCUGCCCAUUUGUCUCAGUUUGACACCUCACCUUCAUCUCCUCCUCGCUACAUAGUUUUAUAUUUAGUAGAUUUGGCUAUGCAUUUGGGUCUGUUACCAUCUGAUAUGUAUCAAAGUGUUGGGGCAAGGCGCCUCCUAUACCGCUCUCAGAUAACACAUUACGUGAAAGCAGGUCUCAUUGACAAUGCCAUCAAGGUGUUCGACGAAAUGACCCAAUCAAACUGCCGCCUCUUCAGCCUUGACUACAACCGCUUCAUCGGUGUCCUCCUCCGCCAGUCCCGCUUCGACCUUGCUGAGCACUACUACUUCCACCACGUCAUCCCCCAGGGCUUCUCCCUCUCCCCAUUCACCUAUUCCCGCUUCAUUUCUGCCCUCUGCAGUGUCAGGAAUUUCACCCUCAUCAACAAGCUCCUCCGUGACAUGGACACACUCGGUUGCAUCCCUGACAUAUGGGCCUUCAAUAUCUACUUGGACCUCUUGUGUCGCGAUCAUCGGUUGGACGAUGCUCUGGAACUUUUCCAUUGCUUGUCCCGCAAGGGAAGAGAGCCUGAUAUUGUUAGUUACACUAUCCUCAUUGAUGCACUGUGCAAGUCUCGCCGGUUCAAUGAGGCUGCGGGGUUUUGGCGAGGUUUGAUUGAUAAGGGGCUGAAACCUGAUGCUAAGGCUUGUGGUGCUCUUGUGAUUGGUUUGUGUUCUGGUGGUCAUGUUGAUUUGGCUUAUGAGCUUGUUGUUGAGGUGAUCAAGGGUGGUGUGGAGGUUAAUAGUUUGGUUUAUAAUGCUUUGAUUGGUGGGUAUUGUAGGGCAGGGAAGAUUGAUAAGGCGCUCGCGAUUAAGGCGUUUAUGAGCAAGAAUGGGUGUCUGCCGGACUUGGUGACUUAUAAUACCUUGUUGAAUUAUUGUUGUAAUGAGCUUAUGUUGGAUGAGGCAGUUAGGUUAGUACAGUCAAUGGAGACGAGUGGUGUGGAGCCAGAUUUGUAUAGUUAUAAUGAGCUGCUAAAGGUUUUUUGUAAGGCUAACCAAAUGGAAAGAGCUUAUUGGAUUAUGGUAAAUAGGAUGCAGGUUAAAGGGUUGUGUGAUGUUGUUUCUUACAAUACCAUUAUCGAUGCGUUUUGUAAGGCACACCAGACUGGGAGGGCUUAUAACUUGUUUAAGGAAAUGUAUAGGAAGGGGAUUCAACCCGAUGUAGUGACUUUCACAAUCAUUAUAAAAGCAUUUCUGAGAGAAGGUAGUUCUACUGUGGCCAAGAAGCAUCUUGAUCAAAUGACCAAGAUGGAUAUUGCUCCUGAUCAAGUAUUCUAUACGACAAUAGUGGAUCACAUGUGCAAGACUGGAAAAAUUGAUAUGGCUCAUAGCAUUUUCCGUGACAUGGUGGAGAAUGGUAUAACUCCAGAUGUUGUCUCUUACAAUGCCCUCAUAAAUGGGUUUUGCAAGGCUUCUCGAGUUACAGAUGCUAUGCAUCUAUAUGAUGAAAUGCAAGCGAAAGAAUUCCAUCCUGAUGCGGUAACUUUCAAGUUGAUAGUUGGAGGGCUUAUAAGGGAAAACAAGCUUUCAGAUGCCUGUAAGGUUUGGGACCAGAUGAUGGAAAAGGGCUUUACACUCGACAGUCAUGUUUCUCAGACCCUGAUCAGUGCCCUUCAAUUGAGUAAUGCCACAUAAACAUGACAUUGGUUAACGCCAUCAUCACACGUUCCUUUCUAAUGGAAAACUGGCCUAAUCGUUUGCUCGGAAAAUUGUAUGUGAAAGCUUGGCAACAUGUUGAAGUGGUACCCUUUCUGCAUGUUAUGGCACCUGCAAAUCUGUUUAUCCCUUUUCUAUGUUGCUCACAGUGCAAUCCCAUACCAUGACUGUUUACUUGCUGCUCAUGCUUUUGGACACUGAAACAUACUACUGAUUCACUGGCCAGUCUAUAUUAAAGGAUCCAAGGCCACCCACCAAGCGUGGUUCAGUAAUGGUUUUCUGCCACAAAUGGAAAUGCUGGUGUGCAGGUUUUGCUUCAUACUGCCAACUGACUAUUUACAUGAUGGAUUGUUUGUCAAUACUCAAUAUGAUAUAGGGCAAGUAGUUAGUUUCCCUUUGGCCAUUUUUAUACAUGGGGAGCUAUGCACCUGUUCUUGGUUUCAUCUACCACAAACUGGUGUCAGUACCAAUUGAUUGAAAUCACUCUAGCUACAUACUUACGUCCCCUAGUUGUCUUCCUUCAGAUAGAGGAUGGCUUUGAGUUAGUUUUACUUUGCUCCUUUACUAUUGGGCAUGGAACUUCAGGCUUCUUAAAAGAAACGUCACCCAAAUGGUUUCACUUGUCCAAGUAUGUUUUUGUUUAAUUGCAGCAUAUUAUUUUUCUUAGAAAAGUUACUAAUGAUCUUUGAUACUCUUUUGUAUUUUUCAUUUUUUGGUCCCUGCUGCAACUCCUAUAUGAAAGUAUGAAACAAAAUAAGACUAUAUGAAAGUACAAAACAAAAUAAGGCAAUAAAGGAAAAAUUUGUUUGCGAAUGAUUUGACAAGAGCAUACUUUCUGAAGGGCUUCCGAAGCAAUGAAGAAUGAUCAGUAACCACCAAAUCUUUGUUUCAUUUGGUAAAUGUCACUUUUCGAUGAACUAUUUUAUUUACCCAUGUAUUCAAGAGAAUCUUAUUUUGGGGGAAAAAAGGACUCCUUUCUUGAAGCAGUUGCAUUCAGUUAGGUAAGCAUCAAGGUGCAAAUAAAUGGUUAUUCGUCAAAGCUAAGUUUGAAAAUGGUGGUUUCUUAUGGUGUCUCCUUUUCCUCUUUGCGGGUAUGAAACAAAAAUGCGUGAAGCAGAACAAAUUUACAGAUGUAGAUCCUCGGCUGCAAACUGUCAUUUGUAUGUGAUUUCUCCUGUGACAACUCGGUACAAGAUUGGAGAACUGAGAAUUGUUGAUAUUAUUCACCAAAUCUUGUUGCAUGAAUGCUUAGUAGUUAUCAAUGUCCAGCUAGUGAGUCUGGGUGAACUUCCAAGUUUCUGGGUUUGGUUCCUCACAUUUCUUACAGCUAUUUUGAGUGGUAGUUUGGGGGUUGGAGGGAAUGGAGGAAGAAUAGUUGAAGUAGAAGGCAUUGUUGUUGACUACAUAAUUCUGGAAGUAAUGUCUUCUGUUCAGAAAUUUGAAGAUAACUUAUGCCUGCAACUGUUGAAGCAUUUACCGCAAUUUUCAUGGAACCGGGAAAUUAAAGUGGUAGCUGUUCGAUUCAGUAUUUUACGAAGGGAGGUACUCUAACACAGAUUAAAAGAGUGAAGAGAUAGAGAGAAAAGGAAAAAUAUGUAUGUGGGCACUUACCUUUUACGAAUUCAUAUUUAUUUCUUUAUCAUUUGAAUGAAGGUGGUUGUUCCCAUACAUAUUUCAAUAAUGUAGAGAGGUAGAGUGACAUAGAGAAAUCAAUAUCAGUCCUUUUUUAAAGAAGACAUUCGGUAUAUUAUGGACACUUUUAUUAUGUAUGUGACUUUCCACCUUGAAUGAAUGCUUCCAUUUGUGUUUUCAUUAAUGAAUGCUCCCUCUUAAAAACUGUGCUGAUUCCUCGGGUAGUAGGGUAUAUUGGGUGUUUUAAACUUAAUAAGGUUGUAGAGUUUGUCAUUCGUGUUUGUGGUCCAUGUAUUUUGGACCAUAGUAGGGGGAAGGUAUCUUUUGCAAUU